GAUGAACGCUGGCGGCGUGCUUAACACAUGCAAGUCGAACGAAGCACUUUAUUUGAUUUCUUCGGAAUGAAGAUUUUGUGACUGAGUGGCGGACGGGUGAGUAACGCGUGGGUAACCUGCCUUGUACAGGGGGAUAACAGUUGGAAACGGCUGCUAAUACCGCAUAAGCGCACGGCAUCGCAUGAUGCAGUGUGAAAAACUCCGGUGGUAUAAGAUGGACCCGCGUUGGAUUAGCUAGUUGGUGAGGUAACGGCCCACCAAGGCGACGAUCCAUAGCCGACCUGAGAGGGUGACCGGCCACAUUGGGACUGAGACACGGCCCAAACUCCUACGGGAGGCAGCAGUGGGGAAUAUUGCACAAUGGGCGAAAGCCUGAUGCAGCGACGCCGCGUGAGCGAAGAAGUAUUUCGGUAUGUAAAGCUCUAUCAGCAGGGAAGAUAAUGACG
rnacentral:rRNA from 1 species